UACGUAGGGGGCAAGCGUUGUCCGGAAUCAUUGGGCGUAAAGCGCGCGUAGGCGGCCCGGUAAGUCCGCUGUGAAAGUCGGGGGCUCAACCCUCGAAUGCCGGUGGAUACUGUCGGGCUAGAGUGCGGGAGAGGCGAGUGGAAUUCCUGGUGUAGCGGUGAAAUGCGCAGAUAUCAGGAGGAACACCGGUGGCGAAGGCGGUUCUCUGGGCCUUUCCUGACGCUGAGGAGCGAAAGCGUGGGGAGCGAACAGG
rnacentral:rRNA from 1 species